rnacentral:tRNA from 1 species
GCCGGGAUGGUGGAAUUGGUUUACACACACGACUUAAGAUCGUGUGGCCGAAAGGCCGUGUGGGUUCGAGUCCCACUCCCGGCA